GGCGCCGUGGCUUAGUUAGGUUAUAGCGCCUGUCUAGUAAACAGGAGAUCACGAGCUGAACUUCGCCUUGGUGCCU